UGAAGAAAAAUGUCGGUCAACAAUUCCGGUUCAAAUAUUUUUCCUUCGAUUCAAAAUUUCUAAUUACAAAAAAAAACUACAAUCGAAUAAAGAUAAAUAAACAAUGAAUGUAAAUAAUUUGACGAAAUUCUUUAUUUUAAAUAAAUCCCCAUUACACCCUAAAUGUUAAAUACUAAACAUAAAUAUUAAAAAAAAAAUCGGAGAAAUAAUACUGCGACAGAAAAUGUGGAAGUCAAAGUGUAUAAAUUUAUCGGCAAGAUUAUUAAAUUCGCAAAUAAGAUCGAGGGAAAGUGUUAUUGUUAAAAAAAGUUAUUGUCUAGUCAGUGUUAAUAGGUAUUUUAAUAAUGAAAGUGUCAGUGGGGGAGUGAGAAAUGAUUUUAUCGGAGGGCAAAUUUUGUCGUGUAGAAGCAGGAGAGAUGGGAUUCUAACCUCAAAAUUGAAUGUGAGACAUUCGUCAACAUCGUCAACAAUAGAUGCGGUUAAUCAAAAUUCGGCAUUAUUAGAUUAUCUUCCGACUGGAGAAUUAAGAGAAUUGAUAAUAUGGGUACAAUCGACAACCUGUCUACCCUGGUGGGCUUCAUUAGUUUUAUAUACUUUUGUAUUUCGAGUUUCGGUUCAGUUGCCAAUUUCGAUUUAUCAAAAACAUCUUAUGUAUCGUUAUGCGAAUGUGCAAUCGGAGAUUGUUGGUCACAGAUGGAGAUUGAAGAACGAAAUGAAGACAAAAGCUUUAAAAAAUUCUUGGUCGAAAAAAAAGGAAAAUCGUGAAUUGGCAAAAAGUAUUAGUGAGGAAAAAAGGAAAAUGUACGUAAAUUAUAAUUGUCAUCCGGCGAAACUUGGCAUAACUAUUGGAACAUUGUUAUUGGCAUUUAUGACUCAAGUUUGUGCGAUUCGAGAAUUAUGUAUAAUCCCGCCAAUUUCUGGUGUUUCGGAAAUCACAAGUUUGGAAUUAAUAACGGGCGGCUUUGGAUGGUUUGAAAAUCUUACGGAACAAGACCAAUUUUAUAUUCUUCCAGUUAUCGCAACUGUAUUAACUUUAGUCAAUAUUAAGGCGUCGAAUAUUCUUUAUCCACUUUCACCGCACAGUUCAAAUUUAUUGAAAAUACUUAGAAAAUCAACAACUUUUAUAUAUCCAGCAGUGACAAUGUUAUUUACAACGCAAUUACCAACCGCGGUCGUCAUUGCUUGGAUAACCAGCAACAUUUUUUCCUUCGGCGAAUUGAUUUUAUUCGCACAACCGAAAUUUCGCCGAUUAAUUAAAUUGCCAAAAGUUGAGAACGAAUUAGAUAAACCAAUAAUGACAUUAGCCAAUGUUGUGAGGGAAAAAUUGGCAUUUGCCACAAUGAAAAAGAAAUCAUCAUCAUCACCAUCAUCGUAGACAGUUUUCUUAUAAAAAAAAAUCUCUAAAAUGUUUUCUUUGAAAAUAUGUGAAAAAUCAACAGAAGCAGAAGCAGAAGCACUGUCAGUAUAUUGGAAUUAGGAGGAGUAAAGUGUGAGCGCUCAUUUAUCAUUAUUAUCUGCUCUACUUUUGGUCCACUUGCAUCCGAAGAAGGGGAAAUAUCUAAAGGAUACGGAGCAAGUUGCCAAGGUUACGCGAGCGUCAUAACUACCCUGCAGGCCCAGCCUAUUUGUUGUACACCCCCCCCCCCUCACCCCACC